GGCUGCCCGAGUUGUAAUCUAGAGAAGCGUUGUCCGCGCUGGACCGUGUACAAGUCUCCUGGAAUGGAGCGUCAUAGAGGGUGAGAAUCCCGUCUCUGACACGGACUACCAGGGCUUUUGCGAUGCGCUCUCAAAGAGUCGAGUUGUUUGGGAAUGCAGCUCAAAAUGGGUGGUAAAUUCCAUCUAAAGCUAAAUAUUGGCGAGAGACCGAUAGCGAACAAGUACCGUGAGGGAAAGAUGAAAAGAACUUUGGAAAGAGAGUUAAACAGUAUGUGAAAUUGCUGAAAGGGAAACGCUUGAAGUCAGUCGCGUCUGUCAGAAAUCAGCCUUGCUCUUUUGCUGGGUGUACUUUCUGGUCGACGGGUCAGCAUCAAUUUUGACCAUUGGAUAAAGGUGUGAGAAAUGUGGCACUCUCCGGAGUGUGUUAUAGUCUUGCGCUGCAUACAGUGGUUGGGAUUGAGGAAUUCAGCACGCCGCAAGGCCGGGAGCGAUCCACGUUACGUGCUUAGGAUGCUGGCAUAAUGGCUUUAAUCGACCCGUCUUGAAACACGGACCAAGGAGUCUAACAUGCCUGCGAGUAUUUGGGUGGAAAACCCAUAUGCGCAAUGAAAGUGAAAGUUGAGAUCCCUGUCGUGGGGAGCAUUGACGCCCGGACUCGAAGUUUUCUGACGGUUCCGCGGUAGAGCAUGCAUGUUGGGACCCGAAAGAUGGUGAACUAUGCCUGAAUAGGGUGAAGCCAGAGGAAACUCUGGUGGAGGCUCGUAGCGAUUCUGACGUGCAAAUCGAUCGUCAAAUUUGGGUAUAGGGGCGAAAGACUAAUCGAACCAUCAU
rnacentral:rRNA from 1 species